AUAUCCAGUUUGCCUUCUCCCGCUAACGAAAGCUAGUCUGUUCUUUUCAGUUUAAUCUCUGAAACGUGACUACGGUCACAUUCAAGAUUAUUCUUAUUUUUGUAACCAGUGGACGGCUCCCUGGGCUUGCUCAUAGUCGUCCUCACAGUGUCGUCCGUAUUGCACUACCUCGGACUGACGCGAACUUUU
rnacentral:snRNA from 1 species